rnacentral:rRNA from 1 species
CCUACGGGAGACAGCAGUGGGGGAUAUUGCACAAUGGGGGGAACCCUGAUGCAGCGACGCCGCGUGGGUGAAGAAGCGCCUCGGCGCGUAAAGCCCUGUCAGCAGGGAAGAAAAUGACGGUACCUGAAGAAGAAGCCCCGGCUAACUACGUGCCAGCAGCCGCGGUAAUACGUAGGGGGCAAGCGUUAUCCGGAUUUACUGGGUGUAACGGGGGCGCAGACGGCGAUGCAAGCCAGGAGUGAAAGCCCGGGGCCCAACCCCGGGACUGCACUUGGAACUGCGUGGCUGGAGUGCAGGAGGGGCAGGCGGAAUGCCUGGGGUAGCGGUGAAAUGCGUAGAUAUCAGGAGGAACACCGGUGGCGAAGGCGGCCUGCUGGACUGCAACUGACGUUGAGGCCCGAAAGCGUGGGGAGCAAACAGGAUUAGAUACCCCAGUAGUC